UUUUUUUUUUUUUUUUUUUUUUUUUUGAAGGCUGAAGUGGUUUCAGUAAGUUCUCAGGAUACAAUAAGUGAGUUGGUCAGUCAAUGCAUGGUGUUAAUAAAGAAAAGAAGAUAGCUCAGUUCCCAGACCAGUUAUGGAGCUUGUCUAUAGCCAUGGGCUGCAAACCUAGGCAGGGCCACCUAGCUCACAUAUGAUGUUAUUUACAUAAUGAGAACAAGUAGAAAUAUAACAUGGACAGUUCAUUGUAGAAACAUCUCCUCUGGAGAAUAAUAGCCAAUUUUGAUGGCUGGGUUUAGUUUCUAUUGUCCUUAUAUACUAAGAGCAGUGAAUGAGAAGACACAUGCCCAGAAGUAGAGCUGGUCCAUCCAAAGGUGAAUCAGUUCCAGAAUACAAACUGUGGCUAUAUUUCAGAAUAUAUUUUACUUAUAAAGGAUUUUUAAUUCUGUGGAUUUUACAGCUACCCUGUCCUUUCCCACUUUUCUACUCUUCCCAGUAUGAGACAACAAUGAAGUGUCUCCCAGCUUCCAUCAAGCAUAUACAUGCAAUUCAUAGCCAUAGCAAAGUCCAGUUUAUCAGUUGAUUCUGACUCAAUUUGAUAGGCAUUGCUAAUCUUCCGAUAUCCCAUUCUCCUCUACUUUCAGGUAUAGGAAGAUUACAGAGUCCUUACCUUUGAAGUGUGCCCAUGUGAGUCAUUCUGGCCAGUAAAAUGUGAUCAGAAGAGUCUAAAACAUUUGAUUGUUUAUAUUCAAUUCUCUAGCUUUUACAGUGAUAAAUUCAGAGGCAAACCUGAGCCUCCAAAUAAUAUGUCAGCAUAGGAACGAUGGCACCUCAUCAGCCUAGGAUCUUGAGUGAUGUCUAUGUGGAUGACAGUUGCUCCUGACCUUAGGCUAUCACCUCUUAAUGACAGAGUAAGCAGGAAAUCAACCUUUAUCAUUUUAACCAUGGAGAGUUUGGGCUUGUUUCUUUCCAUAGUCUAUCCUAACUGCCUUAUCAGAAAAGAAAGUAUUUCAGUAUCUCAGUUUCUCAAACAGUGGAGAUCAGGUACCUGAAGUCUUGGCAAGAGUCCUGGGAACCUGAGUGCUCACUAUGGCACGCUCUACAAUACUGGCCUUGACUAUGUAACUGGGUCCAUCCCUCCGUUUUCUGAGUUGGGACUUGAGCCUACACUCACCUAGCACUCCCCACAUCUCCGUAACAUCAGCAUUAAUGUAGUUUUUGCCAUCUCCUGUCUCCAUCUGUACUUGACACCAUGCCCUGCCACCUGAACUGUCCCCAUCUGAACUGCUCCUGGUGUGCCAUACUGCCUGUCACACUGCCUUUUCAUUGUGCUGCUCUCCCUGGAUUUAGCCACAGGCUUCAACUCCCUCUGCUUGUCCUCUCUCUUCAUGCCUUAGCUGUGAUGUUGCCAAUAGACCUCAUGUUGAACCAUCUGAAUUUAACAACACUUGUUCUCAUCAUGUCUUAGGAUAUGUCUCAAUUAUAUAAGAGUCCAGAGCAACCUGAGAAGGAUGAAGUUCAGGACAAACCCCAUUUCCAUACCUGAGUAGGCAAAGGCCAGAUUCUAAAAUAGGCUUGAAAGAAAUUGAAUCCAACAGGUAGACUGUGGACUUACGUGAAAAUUAGGCAAAAGAUUGGUGUCAAGAGACUUCAUAUAACAUACGGAGGAAACUUUUACUUGGUAAAUCCAGUUGAGGUCAACACCAGGAGGCCCAGAGAUUUAGGCAGAAUCAGGCAAUGUGUAAGAUGAUAUAAACUCUCAAUAAGACAGAUCCUGGAGUAUUGGUUGCAUUUCUGAGAUAGAUAACACAAGAGGAUCCUGCUUUCAGACCCAGGGCAAACACCUCAGAAAUCAGGCCAAGGUCUCAGCUUUCUAGUCCAAAGUCUGAGGAUUUGAAUCACAAUAAUUGCUGUAGUUCCUUAAAUCUUUCAUGGGUAAACUUAAGGUUUGAUCUAGAGUCUGAGAGAGGGGAUUGCCUGGUAAAUGGUGCCUAGGACACCUGACAUGAGUCAAAGGGGCUGAGAGCCAGACUCAGGUUCUGACGGUCUUCUUAAGAGAAGCACAUUGGCAGCACAAUCAGACCACUGUGCCUAGCAAAAGGGCAAAAUUUCCAAAUUGAAACAAUUUGAUGGGACAACUAAUAAUUCAUGAGCUUGCACAAAUGCUGACAAGUUUAUCAAUGCAUAGAAUCUUUCUGGAUUGGGUAUAGAGAAGAUAAGUGUAGACUCUAGUAUAUCCUUAGCCCUCAUGGUAUAUGUUGGGUGGUGCGGUGCUACUAGCCUCGAUGGUUUUCGCCUUGGGAUAAAGAGAGAAUAGUUCCAUCAGCUAGAGCUCACAAAGAAUACUAUCUCUGUGUUUACAAAAAUGUAGGAAUAUUUGGACCCCUUCCUUAAGAGAUCUUAAUUUCAGAGUAAAAAUAGUUAAUGAACGUGAAGCACAGGGCAAGCAUUGUUCAAUAAUAGGUAUGUUAGUGUCAACUUGUAUUGAUGUGCCUAGGAUUGCAGAAAGAAGAGCUAUGACCUACCAGAAAAAGUAAAAAAGUCUUCAUAGUGAAAGUAGGGUUUUAUGUAGAAAGGUGAGAAAUUGGAUAAAGCUAACAAGGG
rnacentral:lncRNA from 1 species